UGGUGCUGCUUUCUCUGUUUAUCCACUUCAUAUGUAUUUAUGCCUGUCUUUUUCAUUUUCAUUUGUUUUUUUCUGUUUCUGGUCAUAUUUUGGUUGUAUGUGCCUUUUCGAAUUGGUUUAUUCGUUACCACACUAAAAAAAUUUGUGUUUGAGUGGUUUGUGUAAAUGAAAUGAAAACAAAAAACAAUCCAAAAGUAGAACUGAAUUUUAGGAUAUUUGUUUAUUGUGUGUUGGCGUGUAGUGUACUUGUUGUAAGUUUGAUGGUGAGAGUCUAAGGGACUACAAAAUUUCUCUCACUUCUUGUCCGAGGUUAUACGUUUUAACCCACAAAGACAUUUAAACAUUUAGGCCUAAAAAAUUCUUCUUUUUUUUCCCAUAAAGAAACUCAUUUUUAUUUAAUUUUUUAAAUAAAAUUUCUUUAAAAUAAACUAAUCUUCUCUAAAAUAAUCUAUAUUUUAAUUAAGCACUUAAAUUUGUAUAUCGAAUGCACCUUUAGUUUGAAUGAAAGAUGGUUAACACUUGAACUAAUAAUUGUCCUAAUUCUAAUUAUAAUGGUGGGGUAUAAAUGCACCAAGUGAUGAAUUUAAAAUGGAAUUAUAAUGGUGGGGUAUAAAUUGACUCACUUAUUGUACUUUUUAGUUAGAUUCACUUCUUUGUUUCUAAGAGAAAAUAUCCAAAAUGUUUUCUGCAUGUGAUUAUAAAGUUUGUAUACGAUUAUCAUCGAGUCAAACACAAAAGUUACAAAACUAUUGUUGAAGCAAAGUGCCAGUUGGCAACAAAUAUUGACAGCAUUUCAACGCUAUUUGCACGUGAUUAUAAUCUCCACUUCGACCACUAGGUCAUAUCUUUUCAUCUAUGUGACUGUUUGGGCAAACGAUCACUUUUUUUUUUCAAUUUUUCGUCCUCUUUUCAUCUACAACUUUAGUUUCAGAUUUUUUUAUUGAAUAUUUCUUUAUAAUUGAGGUGAAAGAUGAUUGGUUUUAGUUUUCUCAUCUCAAUAGGAAGGUAAGGAUCCUAAAUUCUAGUUUUUGAGGUUUUCUCUAACUUAGACGAAAAGCGUAUUGAGCAUCUAAUUAGGUGUUUUUUUUACUUUUUCAUUUUAUAAACUCUUCCAAUCUUGAUGUGGUUAUUAGUUAAAUUGAUUAGUAUGUGUUUCAUCUAAUCCAAUUGUCUAAUUAGAUAAUUUGAAAUCUCACUUAGUGUUUCUAGGUGCAUUGGCGGAGCUUAGACGAUAUACAACUUAAUUUGAUAAAUCUAUGAUCAAGCAAACAAUUGGGGAUACCUCUAAAAACUUGGACAGACCACUUUUACUUUUCCUUCAAUUUACAUUUCACAUUUUAUUCUUCUAGCAGACUACAAAGAAACUCCUCAUUUAUCACUUUAAAUAAAGAAUCAAAUUUAAGAAACUAAUCUUCCUACUUCUCUGCAGAUUGAUUUGGUCUUGCUAUUAAUUGCUUAGUAGAUGUUCAUGGUUAGUAAAAAAUAUGUAUUUUAUCAACAGGAGGUCUCGAUCGUCACACCCCAUCCCGAGCACCUACUUGCUCGACCCGAGGUGUGGUGUGAAGCCAACUGAUGUCACUCCCUUUCUGAACAACACCAGUUGACACUGACUACUAAUGUUUUACAAUGCUAAACAACUUAAGUAAUUUAAGACUUAUGCAUCGAAAACUAAGUGAAACAAACUUCUUAUAUUUUAAAAGUAGUCGAGGCUAGAUGUCAUUGAUUACAAAACUUUACUUACAAACCAAACAGAAACUAAACAACUGCAUUUAACCUUAUACAAAACCAUGUACAUGAUAAUGUUUAAACUAAAACUAAUCCUUAGUAACUAAACUAUUCACAAAUUUUGCAUAGUAGACAUGAAGACAAUGAUCAGGCUUGCGGAUCACAACCUAUACCUAGAAAGUGGAGAAAACAUUUGGAAAUGGUGAACUAAAAUAGCCCAUUAAAUGAUGAUUUUAUUAAAAGCAUACUUUCUAAAACAAUUUAGUUCUAAACUUUAUUUUUAGCAUUAUUAAAUCAAUUUACUUCUAUACCAUAUGAAACACAAAGUGAACCCUUUGAUGACCUGUUAUAACUAUAAUGAGGUGGGUAACCUAUAAAUAUCAUAUUUGAAAAACUCUCUUCUCAUAAAUCUAUCAUAGUGAUAGCAUACAUAAGUAUCUACUGAAUACCUCUAUCAUAGGAACCUUUGUGCAUAGGCCAUAUCACCCGAAGGGUUGCUAUAUACAUAUCUAUCAUAGGUGUAGUCUACAACAUUCUAAAAUCAUUCUUUACUUAAAUUCUUAUCAUAAAAUAUACUUAACAAAAUUUCAAAUAUCAUGCAUUGGAAACAUUUUGCUGAAUCAGUAAACUCAAGUAAUUCAUACAUCAAAGCAUGCUUGAAACAUUUGAUAAAUAAUUAGAUUCAGAAAUCAACUUUAAAUUCAUUUUAUCACUCACUGAUAGUAGUUUAGACCCUUGGUCUAUAAAUUUGUUUGAUCUUCUCUUGACUUGAAAUAACGGAAAAUAAUUCUAUUUAAUUCUCUUUUAUCAUAAAAAUAUAAGAACUUUACUUAAAAUUUCUCAAAAUACCAAAAACGGGUCGUAGGGUUAUUGUAAAUCUUAAGAUAUCUCAUGUAUAAACUAAAACACGCUAAAUAAAUCUCAUGCUUUAAAACAUUAUCUUACACUAGAACAACAUGUUUAUAUAAAUCUGUUGCAUAUAACAAGUUUCAAACCUGAAAAUCAAGCUUUUCUUAAAUGAAUCUUAAACUUAAACAUUUAAAAAACUUACCAUAAUCAUGCUUGUCCAUAAAUUUCAAGUUUAAAGAAAUAGGUUAAUGACAUCAACAAACUCACAUGAAACACAUGUUUUUCAAAUUCAUUCUAAACUUUAAACAGCUUUCGAAAUAAUUUUCAAACUAGGUAUAGCUCAAUUAUUUUAACUCAACUUAUAAAUUUGUUCAAUCUCCUACUGACCUAAAAUUAGAGAAUUUAAAUCUAAUUUAAUCCUCUAAGUUUAGAAAUUACCAAAUUUAACUCAAAAAUUGGAAAAACUCCAAAAACAACUAAAAAUGGCAUUUAGGCAUGGGUUGGAGUUGGGCUUGGGUGACAGACAACACGAGUGGGUGCAGGCCCUUUAGCAUGUCUGGCCGUGUGCUAACCUCACAACCCUUUGUUGUGCGCCCAUGGUUGCAUAACCCCACACUGCGUUUUGAUGCUUCUAUGCGCACAUGGCCUAUUGCACGACCUUAGCAUGCACCUCACGUCGCCUGGUUGUGCACUUGUCAUGUUAAGCGUGCUUAAAACUCUAAAAUAACUUCUUUACCUUGCAAAUGCACGUAGCACCACACUUAACCUCCUAACACUUGGCCAACCAUCAAACCUUGCCUAGAAAACGUCUAAAUGAUUCCAAAAUCUAACUUCAACUUCCCAAGCUCAUAACUUUUAAACUAGGAAUCAAAAUGGAAAAGUUCCUAUUUCAAAGAUGCUUACAAUUUUCCUAACUAUCUUACCUUCAAAUUUCAGCUUGAAAUUCAAAGUAAUUGAUAAGACAAUCGUAAUCCUCAAUCCAAAGAUCCAAGCUAUUAACGUAGCAAGAACCUUUGAAAUAAGAAACUAACACCUCCUUAUAUUAAUUUAGAUCAACCAAGAGAAAGUUAGGAUUACAUUACCUCUUAGAUCAAAGAUCUAGAAGCAAGAUUUGAAAAUCUUGUUCUAAAUUGAGUCACUCCACAAUCAAACUUGCAUUCA
rnacentral:lncRNA from 1 species